rnacentral:lncRNA from 1 species
AUAACACAAUGGAAACUGCAGUGAUGAUGUGUCCAAGGCCACGGUGCGGUGUGUACACAAAUUGGCCUAGCUAGGCUGGUUUUUAUGUCAUCUUGGCUGAAGCUCUCCAAAGUGGCCUUGGCUCGUUUUUUUCUUGUGUCUACUCAAAUUUCCCCAAUUUUAAUCUAAAUUUGAUCCCUUUUAUUUGCACGUGAUUUUUUCCUUGUGUCCUCUCAAAUUCACACUUAGAUACAUCAAAUGCAAACUUCAUCUUCUCUAACCGGUUCUUGGCAAUCUGCUUGAGAGAAAAGGAAGAGACUAAUUUGGCUUGUGCUCGCCGAAGUUGUGAAAGAAACUCUAAGCUAGUGCCCUAACUUUUAUUUAAUAUUAAUCUGCAAGCCAACAAAAAUCAAAUCAACAAAUCUUUUCAGAAAAUUGUUAAAUUGAAACGUCCAGUUUUAAUAUCUCUAGAUCCAUUAACAUAUCUUUAGACCCUUGCUUUGAACGCUAUCAUAUUUUUUGACCCAUAUCAUAUUAGACAAUUUAAGCUCACACUGGCUCCAUUAUAUAAAUAUCGACAAAAGGUUUCUUCUAGUUAGUCGUGUGCAAUAACAAAUAGAGCAAGAUUGCAGUAACAGUAAAGAAUACCAUAAGAAUGCAGUAACAGUAAAAGAUAAUGAAAAGUUACGACUCCUUGUGUAUUCCAUGCUACUAGCUAUCAUGUAAUCAAAAUAUGAGGGGUAUGGUUUAGAAUAUCUCCCAGCUAUUUUAAUUAAUGCACACCCAGACUUUCUUCCAAAGAUUUAUGAAUUUUUUUUUUCUUAAAUCGGCUUAGAGCUUCAUCCCAUGAGGCCAGAUUGGUGAUUUGUGAAGUAUUUAUACAUGCAUUAGCUUGCUAGCUCUAAAAAGUGUCUUAGGAGGAUUUGGCAACACCUUAUAUGCGUUGAUGUUGAAUUAUUGCUCUCAUCUCGUGUAGUCACUGUUACAAGACCGGCCUUUAGUCCCUGGACUGCGAUCCGGGACUAAAGUUUCGGGACUAAAUAUUUCACCUUUAGUCCCGGUUGGUAAUACCAACCGGGACAAAAGGGCUCGCCAGGCACUGACGUGGCGCAGCCUCUUUUAGUCCCGGUUGGUAUUACAAACCGAGAUUAAAGAUUUUUUUCUUUUUUCCUUUUCUUUUCAAUUCAUUUUUUAUUUUAGUUUUCAAUUAUAUUGUUUUCCAAUUUACUCUUCGCUGCUAUUAUCCGUAUACGUUGCAUCUAUACGAGAGCGUUAUUAUUGCAUACAAAUAAAGUAUGAAACUAUAUAUAUAUAUUAUAGAGCUAUACAUAUACGUACAUACACAUUACAUUUACAAUAAUAUACAAGUAAUCAAGUGUUCGGCCGCCGGUUAAAGGUUGUACAAAUGUUUGGCCUCCACUCAAAGCUCAUACAAGUGUUCAUCCUUGUUUGCACUAUGCAAUCCCAACCUAGGGUUGUAGUGGAACUCGGCGUCUUCUAGGAUGACAUGAUCGUGGAUGAAUUCUGCGAUCGUCUCCUGGAUUGCGACGAGUAUUGUGUGGUCGAACACUUGUUCUUUCAAUUCCCACUCCUUCCAUUUACAUUAGUUAAAGGAAAAGAUAUUAAUAUACAUAAGAUUUAUCUUGUUUCAACAAAUAAAUAAGAUAUGAAUUUAAUGUAUACAUAUGUUACUUACUUUGAGCAUCUGUUUAGAAGGUGUAAAUUUGGUACAGCGCAUGUACUCGCAAACGUAGUAUCCACAUAAAUUGGUACCAUAUGGCUGUCUGGGCACCCACCUAUGUAGAAUAGGAGCGGGAAGUGGCGCUUUCAGAUUCGUACGAUAUUUUUGUAUGAACCAAGCUCAAGCCCUGCCCAAUAAGUCGGUACAUUGCCCGAUAUUUAAAGAAUGAUAUAACGUACCUCUGGAUCAUGUCUUGGUACAUUGCCAGCUCUUUUCUCAUUGAGUCCCAGACACAUAUACAUUGGUUCUUGAUCUUAAUCUCAAUGAGUAUCCAGUGAUCCCUACAUUUAUUUAUAGAGUCAACUUAUAUAUAUAUAUACCUGAUGGGUAUAGCCCCGAGCCCGGGAGCGUUCCUAGAGGGAUUGGUUGGGGGUCGUUUGGGCGAGAACUUCUUACCUCAAGCCUUAGUAUAUCCUUGUGUUUGAGUCUUGUCACAACCUUCCAAAGACAUCAUUGUCGUCAUGCCAACCGCAUGAGGCUCCGUGUCACCUGCAUCGGCGAGAUCCGUUAGCUAACAUAAUAUACCGUAUUUUAGCAUAUAAUAUAUCAGUUUGCUAACAUUUUAUUUUCAGCUAUCUACAUUAUGUGGUGCUGCCCUUCUAUUAUUCUAAAGUGUUUUACAUUCUCAAUUGUGGACUUGUGGUGUUGCGCUUACACGCCAUAGAUUUUUCACAUGUCAAACUAUGGUGUUAUUGACCUUACAUUUCUUGCAUAUAUAUCUAUGCAUCGUUAACACUGUUUUGAUGUUUGAGCCGCUGUUCCGUAUGAAUGCUUAUAUUUCUCAUGCAUUUUAACUGAAUGCCCUUAAACUGCAUGCUAGUGUGGUAUACUGGUAUUUGGUAAACCUGGUUUUGCCAUGGCGAUUAAACAUAUCAGCUAUAUAGUUCAGAAGUUAAAUUGAUGUAGGGAGUUCUCCAUUGGGGAUCGAUGGACCUUAUUGUGAAUAUGAUGGUUGAUGAUGGAUCUAUAAGAGUGACCACAUGCGGUAGCUAGUAAGUCAAGAGAUUAACUUGUUUCCUAGAGGAACAAAGGGAUCUAUCUGCUCGUCUCUCUAGAGAACAGGGGUUUGUCAUAUAUAUGGUUUCGUGCAGAAGUGUGAGAUUUCACCGUUUGGGGGCACCAGUUAAAUUGUUGUAGCUGAAUACCAC